UUUCUAGUAUAAGUGUGUCCCAUGUAAUAUUUGGGAUAUACUUAUACUAAAA
rnacentral:pre_miRNA from 12 species